rnacentral:rRNA from 1 species
GGAGGGUGCAAGCGUUACUCGGAAUCACUGGGCGUAAAGGACGCGUAGGCGGGAUGCCAAGUCUGAUGUGAAAUCCUAUGGCUCAACCAUAGAACUGCAUUGGAAACUGGUAACCUAGAGUAUGGGAGGGGGAGAUGGAAUUAGUGGUGUAGGGGUAAAAUCCGUAGAUAUCACUAGGAAUACCUAAAGCGAAGGCGAUCUCCUGGAACAAUACUGACGCUAAGGCGUGAAAGCGUGGGGAGCAAACGGGAUUAGAUACCCCGGUAGUCCACGCCCUAAACGAUGUUCACUAGUCGUCGGGAUGCUUGUCAUCUCGGUGAUGCACUUAACAGAUUAAGUGAACCGCCUGGGGAGUACGGUCGCAAGAUUAAAACUCAAAGGAAUAGACGGGGACCCGCACAAGUGGUGGAGCAUGUGGUUUAAUUCGAAGAUACGCGAAGAACCUUACCUAGCCUUGACAUUGAUUGAACGGACCAGAGAUGGACCGGUGCCCUUCGGGGAACAUGAAAACAGGUGCUGCACGGCUGUCGUCAGCUCGUGUCGUGAGAUGUUGGGUUAAGUCCCGCAACGAGCGCAACCCUCGUCAAUAGUUGCCAGCAGUUAAGCUGGGCACUCUAUUGAGACUGCCUUCGCAAGGAGGAGGAAAGGUGAGGACGACGUCAAGUCAUCAUGGCCCUUAUGGCUAGGGCUACACACGUGCUACAAUGGGGCGUACAGAGUGUUGCGAUACCGCGAGGUGGAGCCAAUCACUUAAAGCGUCUCUCAGUUCGGAUUGAAGUCUGCAACUCGACUUCAUGAAGCUGGAAUCACUAGUAAUCGUAGAUCAGCAAUGCUACGGUGAAUACGUUCCCGGGUCUU